UGGGGAAUAUUGCGCAAUGGCCGAAAGGCUGACGCAGCGACGCCGCGUGUGGGAUGAAGCUCUUCGGGGUGUAAACCACUGUUGCCCGGGACGAACGGCGAGCAUUAGCUCGAUUGACGGUACCGGGUGAGGAAGCACCGGCUAACUCCGUGCCAGCAGCCGCGGUAAUACGGAGGGUGCAAGCGUUGUCCGGAAUCACUGGGCGUAAAGGGCGCGUAGGUGGCUUAGAAAGCGUGUGGUGAAAGCCCGGGGCUUAACCCCGGGUCUGCCGUGCGAACUACUAUGGCUAGAGUACUGUAGAGGCAGGUUGAAUUCCGGGUGUAGCGGUGGAAUGCGUAGAGAUCCGGAAGAAUACCGGUGGCGAAGGCGGCCUGCUGGGCAGUUACUGACACUGAGGCGCGACAGCGUGGGGAGCAAACAGG
rnacentral:rRNA from 1 species